rnacentral:rRNA from 1 species
AUUGAACGCUGGCGGCGUGCUUAACACAUGCAAGUCGUGCGGUAACAGGCGUAGCAAUACGUGCUGACGAGCGGCGAACGGGUGCGUAAUACAUGGGAAUCUGCCCUUUAGUGGGGAAUAACCCGGCGAAAGCCGGGCUAAUGCCGCAUAAGAUCUUCGGAUGAAAGCGGGGGAUCGUAAGACCUCGCGCUGAUGGAUGAGCCCAUGUCGGAUUAGCAGUUGGUGAGGUAACGGCUCACCAAGGCGACGAUCCGUAGCUGGUCUGAGAGGACGGCCAGCCACACUGGGACUGAGACACGGCCCAGACUCCUACGGGAGGCAGCAGUGGGGAAUAUUGGACAAUGGGGGAAACCCUGAUCCAGCGACGCCGCGUGUGUGAAGAAGGCCU